rnacentral:rRNA from 1 species
GUUGUAUGGUUAAGUGACUAAGCGUACACGGUGGAUGCCUUGGCAGUCAGAGGCGAUGAAAGACGUAGUAACUUGCGAUAAGCCCAGAUUAGGUAGUAACAACCAUUUGAGUCUGGGAUUUCUGAAUGGGGAAACCCACUUACAUAAGUAAGUAUCAUUAACUGAAUACAUAGGUUAAUGAGGCGAACCGGGGGAACUGAAACAUCUAAGUACCCCGAGGAAAAGAAAUCAACCGAGAUUCCGAAAGUAGCGGCGAGCGAAAUUGGACUAGCCCUUAAGCUUUACACGCGUUAGACGAACGGUCUGGAAAGUCCGACGAUACAGGGUGAUAGUCCCGUAGUUGACGACGUGUGUUCAGUGAAAUCGAGUAGGGCGGGACACGUGAUAUCCUGUCUGAAUAUGGGGGGACCAUCCUCCAAGGCUAAAUACUACUGACUGACCGAUAGUGAACCAGUACCGUGAGGGAAAGGCGAAAAGAACCCCUGUGAGGGGAGUGAAAUAGAACCUGAAACCGUGUACGUACAAGCAGUAGGAGCAGGCUUUGUCCUGUGACUGCGUACCUUUUGUAUAAUGGGUCAGCGACUUAUAUUCAGUGGCAAGGUUAACCAUCUAGGGGAGCCGUAGGGAAACCGAGUCUUAACUGGGCGUUCAGUCUCUGGAUAUAGACCCGAAACCAGGUGAUCUAGCCAUGGGCAGGUUGAAGGUUGAGUAACAUCAACUGGAGGACCGAACCGACUAAUGUUGAAAAAUUAGCGGAUGACUUGUGGCUAGGGGUGAAAGGCCAAUCAAACCUGGAGAUAGCUGGUUCUCCCCGAAAGCUAUUUAGGUAGCGCCUCGGACGAAUACUACUGGGGGUAGAGCACUGUUAAGGCUAGGGGGUCAUCCCGACUUACCAACCCUUUGCAAACUCCGAAUACCAGUAAGUACUAUCCGGGAGACACACGGCGGGUGCUAACGUCCGUCGUGGAGAGGGAAACAACCCAGACCGCCAGCUAAGGUCCCAAAUUACUACUAAGUGGGAAACGAUGUGGGAAGGCUCAGACAGCCAGGAUGUUGGCUUAGAAGCAGCCAUCAUUUAAAGAAAGCGUAAUAGCUCACUGGUCGAGUCGGCCUGCGCGGAAGAUGUAACGGGGCUAAGUAGUAAACCGAAGCUGCGGCAAUGUGCUUUUGCACAUUGGGUAGGGGAGCGUUCUGUAAGCGGUUGAAGGUGUGUGGUAACGCAUGCUGGACGUAUCAGAAGUGCGAAUGCUGACAUGAGUAACGAUAAAGGGGGUGAAAAACCUCCUCGCCGGAAGACCAAGGGUUCCUGUCCAACGUUAAUCGGGGCAGGGUAAGUCGACCCCUAAGGCGAGGCCGAAAGGCGUAGUCGAUGGGAAACGGGUUAAUAUUCCCGUACUUCUUACAAUUGCGAUGGGGGACGGAGAAGGCUAGGUGGGCCUGGCGACGGUUGUCCAGGUUCAAGUGCGUAGGCUUAAGAGUUAGGUAAAUCCGGCUCUUUUUAAGGCUGAGACACGACGUCGAGCACCUACGGGUGUGAAGUCAUUGAUGCCAUGCUUCCAGGAAAAGCCUCUAAGCUUCAGAUUGUAAGGAAUCGUACCCCAAACCGACACAGGUGGUCGGGUAGAGAAUACCAAGGCGCUUGAGAGAACUCGGGUGAAGGAACUAGGCAAAAUGGUACCGUAACUUCGGGAGAAGGUACGCUCUCGACGGUGAAGUCCCUCGCGGAUGGAGCUAUUGAGAGUCGCAGAUACCAGGUGGCUGCAACUGUUUAUUAAAAACACAGCACUGUGCAAAAUCGUAAGAUGACGUAUACGGUGUGACGCCUGCCCGGUGCCGGAAGGUUAAUUGAUGGGGUUAGACUUCGGUCGAAGCUCUUGAUCGAAGCCCCGGUAAACGGCGGCCGUAACUAUAACGGUCCUAAGGUAGCGAAAUUCCUUGUCGGGUAAGUUCCGACCUGCACGAAUGGCGUAAUGAUGGCCACGCUGUCUCCACCCGAGACUCAGUGAAAUUGAAAUCGCUGUGAAGAUGCAGUGUACCCGCGGCUAGACGGAAAGACCCCGUGAACCUUUACUACAGCUUGGCACUGAACAUUGACCCUACAUGUGUAGGAUAGGUGGGAGGCUUUGAAGCACGUACGCCAGUAUCUGUGGAGCCGUCCUUGAAAUACCACCCUUGUAGUGUUGAUGUUCUAACGUCGACCCCUUAUCGGGGUUGCGGACAGUGCCUGGUGGGUAGUUUGACUGGGGCGGUCUCCUCCCAAAGAGUAACGGAGGAGCACGAAGGUGGGCUAAUCACGGUUGGACAUCGUGAGGUUAGUGCAAUGGCAUAAGCCCGCUUGACUGCGAGAAUGACAAUUCGAGCAGGUGCGAAAGCAGGUCAUAGUGAUCCGGUGGUUCUGAAUGGAAGGGCCAUCGCUCAACGGAUAAAAGGUACUCCGGGGAUAACAGGCUGAUACCGCCCAAGAGUUCAUAUCGACGGCGGUGUUUGGCACCUCGAUGUCGGCUCAUCACAUCCUGGGGCUGAAGUCGGUCCCAAGGGUAUGGCUGUUCGCCAUUUAAAGUGGUACGCGAGCUGGGUUUAGAACGUCGUGAGACAGUUCGGUCCCUAUCUGCCGUGGGCGUUGGAAGAUUGAAGGGGGCUGCUCCUAGUACGAGAGGACCGGAGUGGACGAACCUCUGGUGUUCGGGUUGUGUCGCCAGACGCAUUGCCCGGUAGCUAAGUUCGGAAUCGAUAACCGCUGAAAGCAUCUAAGCGGGAAGCGAGCCCUGAGAUGAGUCUUCCCUGAUACUUUAAGUAUCCUAAAGGGUUGUCGGAGACUACGACGUUGAUAGGUCAGGUGUGUAAGUGCUGUGAGGCAUUGAGCUAACUGAUACUAAUUGCCCGUGAGGCUUAACCAUACAACACCCAAGGGGUUU